UCGUAACAAGGUCUCCGUAGGUGAACCUGCGGAGGGAUCAUUACACAAUAACAAGGCGGGCUGGACACCCCCAGCCGGGCACUGCUUCACGGCGUGCGCGGCUGGGCCGGCCCUGCUGAAUUAUUCACCCGUGUCUUUUGCGUACUUCUUGUUUCCUGGGUGGGCUCGCCCGCCAUCAGGACCAACCACAAACCUUUUGCAAUAGCAAUCAGCGUCAGUAACAACGUAAUUAAUUACAACUUUCAACAACGGAUCUCUUGGUUCUGGCAUCGAUGAAGAACGCAGCGAAAUGCGAUACGUAGUGUGAAUUGCAGAAUUCAGUGAAUCAUCGAAUCUUUGAACGCACAUUGCGCCCUUUGGUAUUCCAAAGGGCAUGCCUGUUCGAGCGUCAUUUGUACCCUCAAGCUUUGCUUGGUGUUGGGCGUCUUUUGUCUCCAGUUCGCUGGAGACUCGCCUUAAAGUCAUUGGCAGCCGGCCUACUGGUUUCGGAGCGCAGCACAAGUCGCGCUCUUUGCCAGCCAAGGUCAGCGUCCAGCAAGCCUUUUUUUUCAACCUUUGACCUCGGAUCUGGUAGGGAUACCCGCUGAACUUAAGCAUAUCA
rnacentral:rRNA from 1 species